UACGGAGGGUGCGAGCGUUGUCCGGAAUCACUGGGCGUAAAGGGCGCGUAGGCGGCUUGGGAAGUCCGUGGUGAAAGCUCGUGGCUCAACUACGAGUCGGCCAUGGAUACUCCUGAGCUCGAGUCGACUAGAGGCAGAUGGAAUUCCGGGUGUAGCGGUGGAAUGCGUAGAGAUCCGGAAGAACACCGGUGGCGAAGGCGGUCUGCUGGGGUCGAACUGACGCUGAGGCGCGACAGCGUGGGGAGCAAACAGG
rnacentral:rRNA from 1 species